rnacentral:rRNA from 1 species
UACGAAGGGGGCUAGCGUUGCUCGGAAUCACUGGGCGUAAAGGGUGCGUAGGCGGGUCUUUUAAGUCAGGGGUGAAAUCCUGGAGCUCAACUCCAGAACUGCCUUUGAUACUGGCGGACUCGAGUCCGGGAGAGGUGAGUGGAACUGCGAGUGUAGAGGUGAAAUUCGUAGAUAUUCGCAAGAACACCAGUGGCGAAGGCGGCUCACUGGCCCGGUACUGACGCUGAGGUGCGAAAGCGUGGGGAGCAAACAGG